AGGCCUACGGGGGGCAGCAGUAGGGAAUAUUGCUCAAUGGGGGAAACCCUGAAGCAGCAACGCCGCGUGGAGGAUGAAGGGUUUCGGAUUGUAAACUCCUUUUGUUAGAGAAGAUAAUGACGGUAUCUAACGAAUAAGCACCGGCUAACUCCGUGCCAGCAGCCGCGGUAAUACGGAGGGUGCAAGCGUUACUCGGAAUCACUGGGCGUAAAAAGCGCGUAGGCGGGGUAGCAAGUCAGAUGUGAAAUCCUAUGGCUUAAACCUAGAACUGCAUUUUAAA
rnacentral:rRNA from 1 species